rnacentral:tRNA from 6 species
GAGCCCGUAGCUCAGUUGGUAGAGCACGAGACUUUUAAUCUUGGGGUCCAGGGUUCGAAUCCCUGCGGGCUCACCA